GCCAGUGUGGUGCAGUGGUUCGAGUGCUGGGCUACAAAACUAGAGACCAGGGUUCAAAUCCCCUCCCAGCCA